CGCCUGAAGAGAAGAGACAGAUAUCACAAAUCGGAUUAUACUACAAGACGAGUCAAGGGGAUCACUGCAAUACACAAGGCCAAGUAAAAAUGGAAAGGGAGGUGGUGCUUUGGGCCGUUGUACUUUUUCCAAAUGGCGGAGCUGCAACAGUUCUUGCCAGCUGGUUCAGUCUAAAGGAAGGUAAAUUGUUAUGGCC